AACGAACGCUGGCGGCAUGCCUAACACAUGCAAGACGAACGAGAUCUUCGGGUCUAGUGGCGCACGGGUGCGUAACGCGUGGGAAUCUGCCCUUUGGUUCGGAAUAACAGUUGGAAACGACUGCUAAUACCGGAUGAUGACGAAAGUCCAAAGAUUUAUCGCCAGAGGAUGAGCCCGCGUAGGAUUAGCUAGUUGGUGUGGUAAAGGCGCACCAAGGCGGCGAUCCUUAGCUGGUCUGAGAGGAUGAUCAGCCACACUGGGACUGAGACACGGCCCAGACUCCUACGGGAGGCAGCAGUGGGGAAUACUGGACAAUAGGCGAAAGCCUGAUCCAGCAAUGCCGCGUGAGUGAUGAAGGCCUUAGGGUUGUAAAGCUCUUUUACCCGGGAUGAUAAUGACAGUACCGGGAGAAUAAGCUCCGGCUAACUCCGUGCCAGCCGCCGCGGUAA
rnacentral:rRNA from 1 species